rnacentral:rRNA from 1 species
GAUGAACGCUGACAGAAUGCUUAACACAUGCAAGUCAACUUGAACUUCGGUUUGGGUGGCGGACGGGUGAGUAACGCGUAAAGAACUUGCCUCACAGAUAGGGACAACAUUUGGAAACGAAUGCUAAUACCUGAUAUUAUGAUUUUAGGGCAUCCUAGGAUUAUGAAAGCUAUAUGCGCUGUGAGAGAGCUUUGCGUCCCAUUAGCUAGUUGGAGAGGUAACGGCUCACCAAGGCGAUGAUGGGUAGCCGGCCUGAGAGGGUGAUCGGCCACAAGGGGACUGAGACACGGACCUUACUCCUACGGGAGGCAGCAGUGGGGAAUAUUGGAAAAUGGACCAAGAGUAUGAUACAGAAAUGCUGUGUUAACGAUGAAGUUUGUAGGAAUGUAAAGUGCUUUCAGUUGGAAAGAAAAAAAUGACGGUACCAACAGAAGAAGUGAAGGCUAAAUACGUG